CAGACAUGCUCCGUGCGUUCAGCCGAAAGGUGUACUCGUACGGUUGCAGGCUAGUGUCUGUUCUUGGGGUCGGAUAAGGGUCUUGGGAAUGUGGCCAGUUCGCCGGUUGAAAGGGAAACGAUUGAAGUCAGUCAUGCUCGUGAGGAAUCAACUUGAUGGUGUGUGGGUUCUCUCGCAUACUUUCCGGUGCACUUCCCUCGCUCGGCAGGUUAGCAUCAAUUUCGGUUAUCAUAAAAAUUGAGGAAUGUGGCUUCCUUCGGGAAGUGUUAUAGACCUCGAUCGAUGUGUGACCGGGAUUGAGGAUUGCAGCGGAUACCCUCG
rnacentral:rRNA from 1 species